CCUACGGGAGGCAGCAGUGAGGAAUAUUGGUCAAUGGACGCAAGUCUGAACCAGCCAAGCCGCGUGCAGGAAGACGGCUCUAUGAGUUGUAAACUGCUUUUGUACGAGGGUAAACGCAUACACGUGUAUCUGUCUGCAUGUACCGUACGAAUAAGGAUCGGCUCACUCCGUGCCAGCAGCCGCGGUAAUACGGAGGAUUCGAGCGUUAUCCGGAUUUGUUGGGUUUAAAGGGGGCAUAGGCGGGCGGUUAAGUUAGAGGUGAAAGCUCGAGGCUCAACCUCGGAAUUGCCUUUGAUACUGGUCGGCUAGAGAGUAGUUGCGGUAGGCGGAAUGUAGGGUGUAGCGGUGAAAUGCUUAGAUAUCAUACAGAACACCGAUUGCGAAGGCAGCUUACCAAGCUACUUCUGACGUUGAGGCACGAAAGUGUGGGGAGCAAACAGGAUUAGAUACCCUAGUAGUC
rnacentral:rRNA from 1 species